rnacentral:rRNA from 1 species
AUUGAACGCUAGCGGGAUGCUUUACACAUGCAAGUCGAACGGCAGCGCGGACUUCGGUCUGGCGGCGAGUGGCGAACGGGUGAGUAAUGUAUCGGAACGUGCCCAGUAGCGGGGGAUAACUACGCGAAAGCGUAGCUAAUACCGCAUACGCCCUACGGGGGAAAGCAGGGGAUCGUAAGACCUUGCACUAUUGGAGCGGCCGAUAUCGGAUUAGCUAGUUGGUGAGGUAACGGCUCACCAAGGCGACGAUCCGUAGCUGGUUUGAGAGGACGACCAGCCACACUGGGACUGAGACACGGCCCAGACUCCUACGGGAGGCAGCAGUGGGGAAUUUUGGACAAUGGGGGCAACCCUGAUCCAGCCAUCCCGCGUGUGCGAUGAAGGCCUUCGGGUUGUAAAGCACUUUUGGCAGGAAAGAAACGUCGCGGGCUAAUACCCCGUGGAACUGACGGUACCUGCAGAAGAAGCACCGGCUAACUACGU